UAACCCCCGCCGGCGACCGGCGCACGGGUGAGUAACACGUAUGAAACCUGCCCGUAGCAGGGGGAUAAGCGGAAGAAAUUCCGUCUAAUACCGCGUAACAACCCGAGGAGGCAUCUCCUCGGGUUUAAAGGAAGCGAUUCCGGCUACGGAUGGUCAUGCGUCGCAUUAGCUAGUUGGCGGGGUAACGGCCCACCAAGGCGACGAUGCGUAGGGGUUCUGAGAGGAAGGCCCCCCACACUGGGACUGAGACACGGCCCAGACUCCUACGGAAGGCAGCAG
rnacentral:rRNA from 1 species